rnacentral:rRNA from 1 species
UACGGAGGGAGCAAGCGUUACUCGGAAUUACUGGGCGUAAAGCGCGCGUAGGCGGUUUUGUAAGUCUUGUGUGAAAGCCCAAAGCCUAACUUUGGAAGUGCACAAGAUACUGCGAGAAUUGAGUUCCGGAGAGGAAGAUGGAAUUCCCGGUGUAGAGGUGAAAUUCGUAGAUAUCGGGAGGAACACCGGUGGCGAAGGCGGCGACCUGGGUCGAUACUGACGCUGAGGCGCGAAAGCGUGGGGAGCAAACAGG